UUAUAAGAGACAGCAGUAGCCACGGUAAUACGUAGGUGGCAAGCGUUGUCCGGAAUUAUUGGGCGUAAAGGGCUCGCAGGCGGUUUCUUAAGUCUGAUGUGAAAGCCCCCGGCUCAACCGGGGAGGGUCAUUGGAAACUGGGAAACUUGAGUGCAGAAGAGGAGAGUGGAAUUCCACGUGUAGCGGUGAAAUGCGUAGAGAUGUGGAGGAACACCAGUGGCGAAGGCGACUCUCUGGUCUGUAACUGACGCUGAGGAGCGAAAGCGUGGGGAGCGAACAGGAUUAGAUACCCCUGUAGUCCCUGUCUCUUAUAA
rnacentral:rRNA from 1 species